rnacentral:rRNA from 1 species
GAGUUUGAUUCUGGCUCAGGAUGAACGCUGGCGGCAUGCCUAACACAUGCAAGUUGAACGAGAAGUUCUGGAGGGAGUCUUCGGACGAACGAAGGGAUGGAAAGUAGCGAGCGGGUGAGUAACGCGUGGGCAACCAACCUUACACAGGGGGAUAACACAGAGAAAUCUGUGCUAAUACCGCAUAAGCGCACAGUAUCACAUGAUACGGUGUGAAAAACUCUGGUGGUGUAAGACGGGCCCGCGUCUGAUUAGCUAGUUGGUGGGGUAAAAGCCUACCAAGGCGACGAUCAGUAGCCGACCUGAGAGGGUGAUCGGCCACAUUGGGACUGAGACACGGCCCAAACUCCUACGGGAGGCAGCAGUGGGGGAUAUUGCACAAUGGAGGAAACUCUGAUGCAGCAAUGCCGCGUGAAGGAAGACGGUUUUCGGAUUGUAAACUUCUAUCAGCAGGGAAGAAAAUGACGUACCUGACUAAGAGCCCCG